UUUGAUUAACUCAGGGCUGGGCUGCUGCCUGUGACUCUCCCAGCUCCCUGCUCGUCCCCAGAGGUCCCUUCCGGGCACAAUCUAUUAUCUAGGAAGCCGAUCGAUGUGUGACCGCCCCAGAGCAGAGAUGCCCUGAUGGUGGCGAAGGGGGGCGGCCAGAAUUGGAUACAAUGCUCCAGACACGGUCCAGAUCUUCUCCUCGUGGGGAGUAUCUGCAGCAAGUGUCUCACUGAAGUACAAACUACAAUUUUCUGCCAUACGUCCAUCCGAGAAGGAAACAAGUUAUUCCAGCGCAACUGGUUUUGAGGGGGACCAGUUCUGGCAAGGGUUCUUCCAAGCACUCAAAAACCAUCCUCUAAAAAGCCGUCUUUAGAGCCCUGUCCAAGAGUAAAGAUCGAAUUCCUCAGUCCAGCUGAAAGGCCUCACCUUUGCAUUGCUGUCUGUGGGGAAAGUGCCUGACCACAAGGCCCAGGGGCCUCACAGCACCACCACCCUCCAGCUCGUGACCUUGGGCGAGGUCUGGGGAACACGCCCACGCUGCGGGCCUCACAGAGGUUUCUGCAUUUUGUUUAUGUGUGGUGGGUCAAAUGCAAUGAGAGCUGUGCCAGUGUUUCAUUGUGGUUUGGUUUUGAAUGUGUGUUUGCUGCUUUUACGCUGUAAAAUCCUAUACAAACACAAAGAAGUACUAUUUUCUUGUUUUGCCUUCUUCCCUUUCUCUGUGGUCCCUUCUGGUCCAGCUAUUUUACUCACUGUGGAACACGAGAUGUUCAUUCCAACAUCUGGUUCACUGUUUAUGCCAUCUACCUUCUCCCACCUGUUUCUCCACAUAGAUCGUUUUCCCCCACAAAUGCUGGAA